rnacentral:rRNA from 1 species
GACGAACCGAGCGAACGUUAUUCGGAAUCACUGGGCUUAAAGGGCGCGUAGGCGGGCCGUCAAGUCGAGGGUGAAAUCCCCCAGCUCAACUGGGGAAGUGCCUCCGAUACUGGCGGCCUCGAGGGGGAUAGGGGCAUGCGGAACUUCCGGUGGAGCGGUGAAAUGCGUAGAUAUCGGAAGGAACACCGGUGGCGAAAGCGGCGUGCUGGAUCCCUUCUGACGCUGAGGCGCGAAAGCCAGGGGAGCGAACGGGG